rnacentral:lncRNA from 1 species
UAAAGCAGUACCAUACAUUAAUAAAAUUAUGUAUUUUUUAAAACAUGGUGUUUUCACUAAUGUCAAAAAUCUCAACAGCCUCUGCCUGGGACUGAAAAACAAUUUAAAGACGGGAAGACCUGGUAUUACAGUCAAAGCCUUGGAUGAAUAGCAAAGGCUAAUGAGAUGUCAGUUUUUAUUUGACCCAGUUGUAACCCAGAUAUGGAGGUGACCUGACUGCUAAUUUAUUAGUGAGACUGUUGUGGCAGCUCCUGCUGUAAUGGCUUAAAAUGAAAUGAUUUUUCUCCAGCUUUUCAGAACAUUGCUUGGUUUUUGUGUUUUUAAAUUUUGAGUUGUAAUGGUUUCCUUCUUUUUAUCUGUAGCCCUCACAUGAUUUCAACCUUCAUGUUAGAAAAACAAACAAAAAACAUUAUCUAGAGGCAUCUAAAAGAUAUAUUUAAGAAAAUACCUCAUCAUAUCUCUGUUUCCAACACCUUCCAGCUGUGGUGCUGGGAGAAGACACAAUACUGAGUGUGGUCCCUUAGGCUGCCUUCAUCCACUGGAUCUCAUUAUGUGGAUGCUUUAGGCAGGGGCCUUUUACAACCUAUGAGCAAUACUGCAGUAGAGCCCCAGGAAAAAUAACAUCUGGAAGUUGUCUUGAGCUUGCAAAACUUCUACUCCUCCUAAGUCAUGUGUCACUUCCUCUAAGAUUCGAAGUCAUAAUAGAAAAACGAAAAUGGAAGUGACACUGUCAGCAGUGUGACCCUCACAGCUGUGCAUCCACUGGGACCCAGAAGAAAUUGCUUCUAAAUGCCAAUAGGAAAUGCCAUAGGAAACUGGUCAGCAGAGCAUUACGUUUGCGCUCUGAUUUGGCACUCUUCAGUCCAGCAUAGAGAGAGCACUACAGGCUGUUGGCACCAGGCAAAGCAAGGGGCUUUUCAAGGCUGCAGUAUUAAGAAAGAGUUUCACCAUGAAAGCCAUCAGUGCUUCUGACUCGGUAAGAACAGUUUUUUCCCAUGUGAUACUUAUCCUGUUGAUUUUAACAGAAACACACUUUUAUUGCACUUGGAGAUAUGCAGAAUGCAUCUAAAGAGCAGUGAAUUUGCUCAGUCUUGGCAUCUUCAUUCUCAAGAGCCUUUUCAAAAUGUAAAUUAGAGACAAAGACUACAGAAACAGAAAUUUUAGAGCACAUGCUAAUUGCAGAA